rnacentral:lncRNA from 1 species
AGUAAGAGCCAGGCUUCUCUCAGGAGCAUCAGCCUCAGCGACAGUCCCUGGGCUGGAGUUGCUGAGAAGGUGUGUUUGCCUUUUGGCUGAGACACUUUAAAACCCCAGCGUCUAGGUUUCAUUUUGAACCUGACAGAUAAAAGGCCGACUUUGACCGAGAAUAUUAACUUUCUGGCUUCCGCCCAAGAAAGCUGAACAGAUGAGGAAAUAAUAUAAAAUAAAAGGCGUCUGCAAACACUGAUUGUCGGCUGCUUUCCAUAAAAUACGCCCACUGUUAUGUGUAACACUCUCUGAGUCUUUCAUUCCUUGGCCCCCUCCCUCUUUUUCCACUUCUGGUGUUGAAAGAACUGCCUUCUCUUAUUUAGAAAUAAAAGACAGACAGAGAGAGGAAAGGGUGCGUGUGCUAAAAACAAGGUCUCCAGGAGGCACCAAGCAGGUGCACCCACAGGCUAAAGCUUCUUACUUUUUGAGGGGAUCACAGGAGGCUGCUAGGUGCUAACCCCAGGAGAACCAGGCAUCCUUAACCCUCUCCCCUGCCCUUGCUUGCAGCUGCUUUUAGGUGCCAGAGGAGCAAUGGCUGGCUGUUAGGAAGGUGCUUCUAGCUGUGGGGUCUCCUUCGGGCAAUGUGGGGGGGCCUGGUGAGGCCCUACAGCUGCUCCUGGUUGGCCAAUAACGGGCCCAGAAGGCAGUGGGGAAGGAGAGAGGAGGGAUGCUGGAGACAGAGGCUGCAGGAAGUGCUUUGUGUUGGGCCUCUCCACUCCCCACUCCUCAAUUUCUGUCUCAGUGGCCGCCCCUUGAUUAGGGGCAUCGGCUUGGACUGGGGAGGACAACACUUGUCAUAUCUUGGCCUGCAAUCUAAGAACACAGGAUGACUCUUGUCUAAAUCUGCUCAGGCUGCCAUAACAGAGUACCAUGGACUGGGUGGCUUAAAUGACAGGAAUUUAUUUCUUGCACUUCUAGAGGCUGGAAAUCUGAGAUCAGGGUGCCAGCAGGGUUGGCCUCUGUCCUUGGUAUGUAGAUGGCUGUCUACUACCCAAGAGUCUCACAUCGUCUUUUCUCUGUGAGUGUCUGUGUUCAAACUUCCUGCUCUUAUAAGCACACUUGUUAUAUUGUACUAGGGCCCACGAUAAAGACCUCAUUUCAGUUUGAUUACCUCUGUAGAAACCCUGUAUCAAAAUACAGUCACAUUCUGAGGUACCGGAGGUAAGAAUGUCAACAUUUGAAUUUUGGGGAGGACACAACUGAGCCCAUAACAACUCUGUAGCCUAAAAAUUAAAAUAACAAUAGGCGCAUGCCCUCACUUGUGUUAAAAGCUGCAGUCUACACCCAGCACAACUGCCUGAUGGGCACUUCACACUGUUAGUCACUCUGCCUUGGUCUGUCACUGUGCCCGGCUGCCUCUGCUGCUUGUUCUCCUUCAUUGCCUGGGUGAAUGGGAGGUCAGAGCUUGCAGGCAGGCAUGCAAGUAGGCAAGGGGCUCCUUAAGAAGCAGAAGCCUGGAGGGCAUCAACUCCCUGCACCACCACCCUGGCCGCUGCACAGCUGACCUGGUUCAUGAGGGAAGGCCUCUGGGCUCUUUAGAAAGAUAAAAUUACUGAGCAGGCACGGUGGCUCACACCUGUAAUCCCAGCACUUUGGGAGGCUGAGGCGGGUGGAUCACAAGGUCAAGAGAUAGAGACCAUUCUGGCGAACACGGUGAAACCCCGUCUCUAUUAAAAAUACAAAAAUUAGCUGGGCGUGGUGGAGCUUGCCUCUAGUCCUAGCUACUUGGGAGGCUGAGGCAGGAAAAUUGCUUGAACCUGGGAGGCGGAGGUUGCAGUGAGCCAAGAUCGAGCCACUGCACUCCAGCCUGGUGACAGAGUGGGGA